UACGUAGGGUGCGAGCGUUGUCCGGAAUUAUUGGGCGUAAAGAGCUCGUAGGCGGUGUGUCACGUCGGCCGUGAAAACCUGCAGCUUAACUGUGGGCGUGCGGUCGAUACGGGCAUCACUGGAGUUCGGCAGGGGAGACUGGAAUUCCUGGUGUAGCGGUGAAAUGCGUAGAUAUCUGGAGGAACACCGGUGGCGAAGGCGGCAUCCUGGACCAAUUCUGACGCUGAGGAGCGAAAGCCAGGGGAGCAAACGGG
rnacentral:rRNA from 1 species